UUUUAGCCCCGAUUAAAGUGGAAAUCCUUUUUAUUCACCUUUUUUUGGUGAAGAAAAAGAUUGCAACGAAAAGCGGGAAAUAGC
rnacentral:sRNA from 1 species